GGGGGCGCUGUGCCUCGCCCGGAGCCUCACCCAGAGCCUUCUGGGGUGGUGGAUAGGUGAGGACCUCAUCGAGGUUUGAGACUUAAAUACCUCUCUACUAAAAGGGAAAUGGAUAAAAAGAUGCUGACUGCCAGGCUGGUUUCGGAUCCUUUGUAUUCUGUCAGAUGAGAACACUUGUUUACCUUCCAGGACUGACCUGAGCAUGAGUUUCUAAGAGGCAACAUCGUCUCAUGAAAGCAGGCCUAGACCAGAAGUAGGAAAAUCUCUCCUCAUUCAAAGGUCAGCUUGCCAUUUGCCAGCCAUGCUAUCCUCAGCAGCUUCUCCUUCUGCAAAGUUGGGAUAACAAAAAAGUUUCCCUCCUUGCCAACCUCCUCUGGUGACUGGGAUAAGCACACAAGAUGAUGUACAUCAAGACACAACACUCCCAGCAAACAAUGGCAUCCCAGCGGACUCUUGUGGACUGCCUGCCACGUGAUGGCUUUAGCUUCAAUUCUACUGCCGAUUCUGCUAAAGCGAGGGAGGAGUCGCAGACACUAUUGAAAUGAGGCUUUUAAGGCCAGGUGCGGUGGCUCAUGCCUGUAAUCCCAGCACUUUGGGAGGCCGAGGCUGGUGGAUCAUGAGAUCAGGAGAUCGAGACCAUCUUGGCUAACAUGGUGAAACCCCGUCUCUACUAAAAACAUACAAAAAAAAAUUCGCCAUGCAUGGUGGCGGGCGCCUGUAGUCCCAGCUACUCGGGAGGCUGAG
rnacentral:lncRNA from 1 species